AUCCAGCUGACUAGUCCCAAAUAGGACGAAAUGCGCGUCAUGGAU
rnacentral:hammerhead_ribozyme from 1 species